UCCUCUUCUCGCAUGUGAGGAACCUGUGCUGCAAAGGGAAAGAGACCACGACUUUAACUCAGCAGUUUUCCUUCCUGCUGCGGGUCCCUCGUCACUGCCGCCGCAGCUCUCCACCUUCCCUGUGCGUGCUCGAGCUUUUCCUCCAGGUGCCCACAGCGGGCACCGGGGCUGCCUUGUGCUGUGUGCUGAGAUCGGAGCCCGCCGGGACCCCGGUGUCAGCCCCGUGCUCUCCCUCCCUGUGGCCCCAGGGCUCGGCGAGGGCAGGGUUGGUCCUGUCUGACUCAGCCUGCGUCUGGGGACGGGGUCAUGGCUGAGGGAGUGAGAGGCAUCGUCACCGAGAUGGCAGCCAGAUUCAGGAGAACUGCUGUCUGUGACGUACUGGGGAAAAUGGGAGACUCUGUGGCCCUUCAUUCACCCUACAUGAAUAGCAGCUUCGAAGCGAUUUCAUUUGCUCUCAGAAGCAGCACCCUCUCCGAUGACUAACAGUUCCUGAUGGGUGAAACAUAAAGUGGACUGCUUUUUUUUUUUUUUUUUUUUUUUUUUUUAACAUUUUUUUGCUGUCAAGGCAUGACGUUGGACUUUUCACUUCUGGAAACCUGCUUUCUAGCACUCUUGUCGGAAUUUGCAAUGUGACUCAUAUCAACCUCAUAUCAACAGAAAUGAAGGAGCGCGUGUUCUGUGCGAGCAUGGGCAGCCAAUGGGGCUUCCUUAGAAGAAAGCAGUAUGUUUGCAGCCAGUGGAAGAUCCUCUUCAGCAUCAGGAUCAGGCGCUGAGGUCCCUUCUCUGUGGUUGCUCUCCAUGUCGCUUGGGAUGGCC